rnacentral:rRNA from 1 species
UACCAGCCCCCUGAGUGAUAGGGACGACUAUUUAGCCUAAAGCGUCCGUAGCCGGCUUAGCAAGUCUUUCGUUAAAUCUGAUGACUUAAUCACCAGGCCGCGGAAGAUACUGCUAGGCUAGAGGGCGGGAGAGGUUGACGGUAGUCCCGGGGUAGGGGUGAAAUCCUAUAAUCCCGGGAGGACCACCAGUGGCGAAGGCGGUCAACUAGAACGCGCCUGACGGUGAGGGACGAAAGCUGGGGGAG